AGCGAACGUUAGCGGCGGGCCUAACACAUGCAAGUCGAACGCAAAAGGUCUUCGGACUGAGUAGAGUGGCGCACGGGUGAGUAACACGUAGGUAAUCUACCCUUUGGCGGGGGAUAACGUUCCGAAAGGAGCGCUAAUACCGCAUAAGACCACGGAGUCUCCGGACGCUGUGGGAAAAGGUGGCCUCUUCUUGAAAGCUACCACCGAAGGAUGAGCCUGCGUCCCAUCAGCUAGUUGGUAAGGUAAUGGCUUACCAAGGCGAAGACGGGUAGCUGGUUUGAGAGAAUGAUCAGCCACACUGGCACUGGAACACGGGCCAGACUCCUACGGGAGGCAGCAGUGAGGAAUAUUGGGCAAUGGGCGAAAGCCUGACCCAGCCACGCCGCGUGAGUGAUGAAGGCCCUCGGGUCGUAAAGCUCUGUGGAGAGGGACGAAAACCCUGGUUUCAAAUAGGCUCCAGGCUUGACGGUACCUCUUUAGCAAGCACCGGAUAACUCUGUGCCAGCA
rnacentral:rRNA from 1 species